UACGAAGGGUGCAAGCGUUAAUCGGAAUUACUGGGCGUAAAGCGUGCGUAGGCGGUUGUUUAAGUCUGCUGUGAAAUCCCCGGGCUCAACCUGGGAAUGGCAGUGGAUACUGGACAGCUAGAGUGUGUCAGAGGAUGGUGGAAUUCCCGGUGUAGCGGUGAAAUGCGUAGAGAUCGGGAGGAACAUCAGUGGCGAAGGCGGCCAUCUGGGACAACGCUGACGCUGAGGCACGAAAGCGUGGGGAGCAAACAGG
rnacentral:rRNA from 1 species